rnacentral:rRNA from 1 species
GAAGCGGCAACAGCUCAAAUUUGAAAUCUGGCGCAAGCCCGAGUUGUAAUUUGUAGAGGAUGCUUCAGGGCAGCGGCCGGUCUAAGUUCCUUGGAACAGGACGUCAUAGAGGGUGAGAAUCCCGUAUGCGACCGGUUGGCACCCGUCACGUAGCUCCUUCGACGAGUCGAGUUGUUUGGGAAUGCAGCUCUAAAUGGGAGGUAAAUUUCUUCUAAAGCUAAAUACCGGCCAGAGACCGAUAGCGCACAAGUAGAGUGAUCGAAAGAUGAAAAGCACUUUGGAAAGAGAGUUAAAAAGCACGUGAAAUUGUUGAAAGGGAAGCGCAUGCAACCAGACUUGUCGGCGGUGUUCCGCCGGUCUUUUGACCGGUCUAUUCGCCGCCGGCAGGCCAGCAUCAUCUGGGCGCGCCGGAUAAAGGCGUGGGGAAUGUAGCUCCUCGGAGUGUUAUAGCCCUGCGCACAAUACGGCGUCGCCCGGGUGAGGUCCGCGCUUCGGCUAGGAUGCUGGCGUAAUGGUUGUCUGCGGCCCGUCUUGAAACACGGACCAAGGAGUCUAACAUCUAUGCGAGUGUUCGGGUGUCAAACCCCUACGCGUAAUGAAAGUGAACGGAGGUGGGAAGCGCAAGCUGCACCAUCGACCGAUCCUGAUGUCUUCGGAUGGAUUUGAGUAAGAGCAUAGCUGUUGGGACCCGAAAGAUGGUGAACUAUGCCUGAAUAGGGUGAAGCCAGAGGAAACUCUGGUG